rnacentral:snRNA from 1 species
GUUCUCACUUUGGCAGCACAUAUACUAAAAUUGGAACGAUACAGAGAAGAUUAGCAUUGCUCCUGCACAAGGAUGACAUGCAAAUUCAUGAAGUGUUUCAUAUAUAU